rnacentral:lncRNA from 1 species
CGGCGCUCGGGGAGCGAGCGCGGCGCCUUCCGCCGAGGGCGGCAGCGCACAGGCCUCGAGAGCCUGUUCCCGAACCCCGGCCAUCGUCACCUUGGCGGUCUUGGCCCUGAGCAUCGUGGUGCUCAUGACGAUCACACUGGUCCAGACCCACCACUCCGAGCUCAUCCCUCCCAGGGCUGAAGGUGAGCGGGAAAGAGCUGGCAUGGAGGAUGGGUGCUGCAGCAUCGGCUCCUCUCCAGCCAUGAGCCGGAAGACAGGAACAUUCUUUCCCUGCCUGCCUCUGGAGCGGGAGGAAGUGGCAUAGGCACAGGUGAAGCCAGGAUCGUGCUGGGUGGUGACGUCAGGGGUCACCAAUGGGGGGGGGACCUUCUCCGAGG